rnacentral:lncRNA from 1 species
UUCUGGUUGUGGUGGUGGAGGUACUGGUUCAUUUAGCUCUGGGUGUGCUGCACUUGGAUGGGUAGGGGAAGAUGGAUACAUAGGAUAUGGUGGGUAAUAAUGAGGAUAAGGCAUAUAUGGCAUGUAAGUAGGAUAUGGGACAAAACUAGAGUACUCCGACAUACCUCCCAUCGGAUACCCUGGGUCCUGAGGAAAGGCUG